GGCUGCAACCCGCCUGUAUGAAGUUGGAAUCGCUAGUAAUCGCGGAUCAGCAUGCCGCGGUGAAUACGUUCCCGGGCCUUGUACACACCGCCCGUCACACCAUGAGAGUCGGGAACACCCGAAGUCCGUAGCCUAACCGCAAGGAGGGCGCGGCCGAAGGUGGGUUCGAUAAUUGGGGUGAAGUCGUAACAAGGUAGC
rnacentral:rRNA from 1 species